rnacentral:lncRNA from 1 species
AUACUUUGUUCUUUUUUUCCAAUUGUAAUGGGUCAUGUUAAUUUUCAUCAUUUUAAUCAAGUAUUUAUUGUCUUUUUCAGUUGUUCUGAGCUGUGUUUGUUAACACUAGUUAAAGUGGUCCAAUACAGAGAGAAUCCAGAGCUGGUGACUUUACUGUUGGAGGUUCUUAGCUUCUCCCUCAGUUUGGAAGGACAUUUACCCAGCAGAACCUGCAGGUCUGUGGGGAGAGUCUUGCGUUUCUCUUCUGACAGACUCAACCUCACUCUAAAACCUAAAGCCGUCUCUCUAAAAGGAACAAGGCUUCUUUUCAGACACAUCAAAAACAUACACACACUCAGGCUGAGUGGUUAUAUGGUGGUGAGAAUAGCACAGGCAUUGAGGUCUAUGUGGGUUCAAACUCCUGUCACUGUUUAUGAACUCACACUUAACCUGAAUAUGGAACAGUGGUCAGAGAGGAAGCCGUCCAGGGUCCUGAGCAAUUUGGCCAUCAUUCUGAGACUCUGGACUGUCCAGUGUUUGAACUUGACUGAAUACAAGAUGUUGUCUGUUUCUCUAUCUGUCCUACUGUGUCACCAGGGGCCAGUGAUUCUCAGACCAUCUAAAGAGACUCUCCGGAAGCUGAUUGAAUGUGUCUGUGAAGCUCAGGAAGAGGAACUGACUCAGUGCUUCCUGCAGAAAGUGGGUGGAGAUCUGACUUCCUGUUCCUUAAGCUGGGAAGAGCUUCACUAUUUCCUGCAGCACAAGAUUCCACACAUCACUGUGGACCUCAGAAAGAGCAACAUUGAAUGCAACGUCAGAAACAUUUUGCCAUUUUUGAACAGGAUUCAAUUUAAACGGAUGAGCUCUACCUUCAUGCUGUCUGUAAUCAGAGGGAUCUAUGAGUCUGGCUCAGUUGGUUUUGUGUCCAGAGACAACUCAAGUCACUUCUUGAUGUAA